CCAAUGUGGAUUACACCUGAUCUUCGAAAGAUGAACUUGGCUUUAGGGGGAGAUUGAAGAAAACAGAUCGAUGGAUUCAAUGAAGCAACUAAGAUAUGGCUAGCCUGUACCUAGUUGGCUCUGAAUAAAUAGUUUUGAGUUUUAUCUGCUUGCAUAUAUUAUAAUCAUGUAAUUCUCCAAAGUUUAAUGUGUCAAGGGAAAAGUUGAGUGAUACUUAAUUGAUUUAUGUUCGUGUUCUUAUCAUUUUUCUGUCGUAUAUCUUCUCCUAUGCUCAUGUCGUCCUAUUUGUGGUGUUGGAAGUGUAGCUGAAAUAUAUGUGGAGAUAUGUCCGAAUUCUGAAAAUGACGAACACGACAGGGAGUCAAGCAGUGAUGUUGAGCUUCUGAUGGGCCAAAUAAUGCUAGUAGUGAAUCAGGGGGAGCUGCAGAUCAUUUUCUCGCAUUGGCUAGUUGUCCACCUACAGAAAAUGAUUGUGUUGCAAUCACUUCUGGUAACUCAAAAGAGCCUGAAGGGGAAAAUUCAGGGAAUGAAAAUGAGAAUUCAGAGGCUGCAAAUGAAAAUUCAGAGGAAGAUGAAGACAAGGAUAGCAACGAGAGUGAUUACUGCCUGGAUGAUGACAUCAGCUCCGAUGAAGAUGAAGAGGCUGUUGAGAUCAACAAGAAAUAUAUAAGGAGUAUAAGGCAAAGAUGAAGGCGAGACAACUCGAGCACCUUGAUGACGCUAUGCUGGAUGGUGGUCCUACAAUAGGGUCAUCAAAUAAGGUGGGGGAGGAAAAUGAUGGAAAUGAUACUGCAUAUGAAGAUAGUUCUGAUUUGUAUAAUUCUUUCGAUGAGAUUGGCAGUGAAGGUAUAGAAGGUUCAAGGACAAAGGGGAUGUACCAGAGUUUACUCUUGGUAUGAAGUUUGAUGGCAAGGAAGAUUUUAGGCAAGCAAUUAUCCGAUAUGGUCUGCAUCACAAGAAGCUUAUCAGAUUUCCAAAAAAUGACAAGGCCAGAGUUAGGGCAAAGUGUGAUUGGCCAACAUGUCCAUUUAUGCCCCAAAAGGAAGGACAAUAAGUUAGUUAACUCAACAAGAAUUGCUGCCAAGUAUGACAAGCUAAUCAGAUCUAAUCCAAUGUGGAAGAUUUCAAGCUUGAAACAACAUAUUCAGGAAGACAUGUUUGCCAAUGUGACCACUGCUCAGGUGAAGAGAGCUAAGAAGAUUGUGAUGAAAAAGUGGCUUCAUGCAGGAAAGGUCAAUAUAGCAGAAUAUUUGACUAUCAGUUGGAGCUGUUAAGGAGUAACCCAGGUAGCACAGUAGUGGUUAAACUAGAACCAAAGCAAGUGAAGCCUAUCUUCCAAAGGAUAUAUAUAUCUGCUUAGAUGCAUGCAAAAAUGGUUUCAUGGCUGGCUGUAGGAAGGUUAUUGGACUUGAUGGGUGUUUUGUUCUUUGCUUUUUAAAGAUGUGAGAGUGCUAGAUGGUGAAGGUUGUGUGAUUAUAUCAGAUCAACAAAAGGGUAUCAUCACUGUUGUUUAGAAAUGGGCAACAAGGGCUGAACACAGGAAUUGUGCCAGGCAUAUUUACGCCAAUUGGAUGAUGAAGUUCAAGAACAAGGAAUGUCAGAAGCCACUCUAGGUUUGUGCAAAGGCUGCAAGUGUAUGUUUUUUCAACUAUUGCAAAGCCAAGCUUGCUCAACUUAUAGUCCUUGGAUCGAGAGCAAUGUUAAAAACCGAUCCAAAGCAUUGGUGUAGAGCAUGGCUCAACUUAGGAAGCAAUUGUGAUUCUGUCGACAAUAAUAUGUGUGAAAGUUUUAACAAAUGGAUUGUAGAGAAGCUAGGUUCCUCCCAAUUCUUUUCAUGCUAGAGACAAUUAGAAGAAUGGUGAUGGUCAGAAUACAAGAGAACAGAGACAAGUGUGAGAAAUAGGAUGAUCCUAUAUGUCCCAAUAUAAGCAAGAAAUUAAGCAAGGCCAACGAUGUUUCUGGUAUAUGUCAAGUAAUGGAAAUAACUGUUUUGAGGUGCCACGUGGAUCUCAAAGGUUUACAGUUGACCUCAACCAGAUGACCUGUAGCUGUAGGUAUUGGCAGUUAUCUGGUAUACUUUGUGCUCAUGUUGUAUCUGCAGUUCAUCAACACACCAAUCAGUUACAUGGUUAUGUGGCUAGUUGUUACUCUGUGGAAGCAUUCAAGAGAACAUAUGCACAUUGCCUGCAACCAGUUGAAGGACCUCAGGGCUGGCCAGAAUCAGACGAGCCUAAACCACUAGCUCCUGGAUAUGUUAAGAUGCCAGGAAAGCCUUGGAAAGAGAGAAAAAGAGAGGGCACUGAAAAACCAAAAGCUACCAAAGUUUCAAGGGUUGGAACUGUGAUUAGAUGCAGGAAAUGCAAGUGUACUGGUCACAACAAAACAACAUGUCCAGGGAAUGCCGCUUCAGGUUAAAAUGGACCGGCUACUAUUGGACAAAAUGCUAGAUCAUUAUCCAAGUCCAGAUGCAAUGGAAAGGACUCCAAGAUGUCUACUUCCAAGGCAAAUGUGCAAACAUCUCAACAAAGCACUAACUGAAAGAGAGCUGCUACAAGUGAUGAGAACCAUCCAUCCAAAAGAAUGUGCUCCACACUUGCUCCUGUGCAGAAAAGAUCAUCUAAAUCCCUAGUAUUGCCUAAGUAGAAGAUGAAGGCUUCUUCCAAUAUUGCUGUCAAAAAUGAGACAGUAAAUGUGAACUCCAGUUCAUCCUUUACUGUCAAUGUUACCUCUGGCCCGGCAAGUUCCCAAGUUGGCGAAAAUAAAAGAGCAAAGAAAGUGCCAGCAAAACUACUAGACUAGUGCUUGUUUGCUGUUGUCUAGAUCCCUAGAAUUCAUGUUUGUCCUUGAUUGUAAGCUAUAUUCAGUACUGUUUCCCUUUGCCGUUUAGUACUUUGUCAGACUAUGUUCAACUAUAUUGGGUU